CCCUUAGAUGUUUUGGGCCGCACGCGCGCUACACUGACAGGGCCAGCGAGUACAUCACCUUGGCCGAGAGGUCUGGGUAAUCUUGUUAAACCCUGUCGUGCUGGGGAUAGAGCAUUGCAAUUAUUGCUCUUCAACGAGGAAUGCCUAGUAGGCACAAGUCAUCAGCUUGUGCCGAUUACGUCCCUGCCCUUUGUACACACCGCCCGUCGCUACUACCGAUUGAAUGGCUCAGUGAGGCCUUCGGACUGGCCCAGGGAGGUUGGCAACGACCACCCAGGGCCGGAAAGUUGGUCAAACUUGGUCAUUUAGAAGAAGUAAAAGUCGUAACA
rnacentral:rRNA from 1 species